rnacentral:snRNA from 1 species
AUUGCUUCUCAGCCUUUUGGCUAAGAUCAAGUGAAAAUGGCAAGAUUUUGUUUUUUUUUUUUGAUGGCUGAGUACUAUUCCAUUGUAUAUAUACAUACAUACGCCACAUCUUCUUUAUCCAUUCAUCUUUGAUGGACAUCUGGGCUCUUUCC